rnacentral:lncRNA from 1 species
AUGAGGUUUCUUCAUGUUGUUGAACUUUGUUGCUUUCUUGCAGCUGUGUUUGUAAAGGCCUCCACGGUGCUGGAGGUGAGUGGCUAUGUUGGAGGAGACGUCUCCAUCCACUGCUCUGGCGGCUGGACCUCAAACCACAGCUCCCAACACAACGGCCUGUACUUCUGCAAAGGCUUCUGCUCCAGAAAGAACAUCCUCGUCCAGAGCGAGCGCGGCGCCCCUGUCACACGAGGGAGGUACAGACUGGAGGUCAACAGAGAACAGGGCGCCUUCUACGUGAUCAUUCGACGGCUGACGAGGGCGGACGCAGGGACGUACAGCUGUGGAGGGGAGGAAACCUUCACGGCUUUGUACCAGGAUAUAAGUCUGACAGUCCUAAACGCCUCGUCGGUUCCUGCUGCUCCCUCCACCACCAUCAGCCGCCGCUCUCUGUCCGGCACCGAACCACCAGCAUCUGCGUCACCUGCUGCAGAGGAGACAAAGCAGCGAGCAGCAGCCAGUCUCACAGCCACCACAGUGGUCAUCAUCGUCUCAGUGAGCCUGGCCCUUCUGGUUUGUGCAGUCAUCCCGCUUAUAUUCUACGGACACUGGAGGAGUAACGCACGCGGACGAAACCGUGAAGGAGGAAACAAGUGUGAGUCUGCAGUGGGACUGCAGUCGUUCGAACCCGCGGCAGAUCCGGAUUCGGGUGCUCAGGACGUGAGGCACUACGCUGCUGCUUACCAGGCACUGGAUCCCAAAACUCUGGACUGAGCAAGUUGUUGCUGGGUCUGCGCUGACGACGCGAUUUACAUCAAAUAAAGCUCAUGUUUAAUUAUGCUCUCGUGUGCGC